AAUGAGGAGCCAUGAUUAAAUGAGGCAAGUAAAAUAAAAAAAGAUAAAAAAAAUCCCUCAUGAAUUGAUUAGACAUAUCCUAAUUAAAGCAUAUAUAUCGCAUCAUUAUUACAAUUCCUAUGCGUUAUGCAAUAGGUGUACAAGAGGCGUUCACGUGAAAUUGAAAUCUGUAUUUUUUUAGGGGGGGGGGCGUAAAAUGACAUCAUGUAGUGUUAUCAGAAGAGAAAGAAUGGAUCAGCACUACGGACAGUUCCUCAUCCAGUGUACCCUCACCAAGUCACGAUCGGAAGUCAAGCAAGACAAAGGAGGAAAAGUGAUCAACUGAUCUACCAGUACAGUGGAGAUGUCUAAAAUAAAAGUCAUAAAAACGCUGCUUAUUUUCUAAAUGGCGGGAGCGGAAGUGAGAUCUACUGAUAAUGAGGAUGCUGAGCUGGAGCUGGUGAGCCGUGAAUGAGCACACAAAGGAAAGAGGGAGUCCAUAUCAAGCAAGCUGUGUAGUGAGCGCAAACAAACAUGGCUCACAAGGACUCUUGCUGUAAUUGACAUGUACAAAAGAAGACAAAGGUGGAAGAUGUGCUCAAUCACCGUGAAUUGGACAUGUGAACACUCAUACUGACUGAUUAGCUAUGCUCAUCUGGUUGUGAGCAAACAGCUCGGGUCCGGGUCAGCUGUAUAAUCUACCUUUACCUAGCAACAGCUGUUUACUCUGAGGGGAAGCUGUGCACACACACAAAAAGCAUGCACGCACACAAAAAGCAUGCACGCACAUGCACGCGCGGUCGAAACAUCACAAAAAACAA